UACGUAGGGUGCGAGCGUUAAUCGGAAUUACUGGGCGUAAAGCGUGCGCAGGCGGUUUGGUAAGACAGAUGUGAAAUCCCCGGGCUUAACCUUGGAAUGGCAUUUGUGACUGCCCGGCUAGAGUGUGUCAGAGGGGGGUAGAAUUCCACGUGUAGCAGUGAAAUGCGUAGAUAUGUGGAGGAAUACCGAUGGCGAAGGCAGCCCCCUGGGAUAACACUGACGCUCAUGCACGAAAGCGUGGGGAGCAAACAGG
rnacentral:rRNA from 1 species